UCUUUCUUUUUUUUAAUCCAGCGCGUUCAAGCUUGAUCCAACGGCCAUAAUCACUUGAUACCCCUUCGUUUGACAUUUUGUUAAAGAGCCCCCCAGGAAUCCUGUUUUCGCGCCGCAGUCCUUGGCCGGAGGAUUUUUCCAGGAUUUAAUUCAUUUAUUUAAAUUCGUCUAAACUCUGCUUUAAUUACAGAAUUGCCACCGCAUUGUUUUAGCUAUAAAAUCGUCG
rnacentral:lncRNA from 1 species